GAAAUGCGAUAAGUAAUGUGAAUUGCAGAAUUCAGUGAAUCAUCGAAUCUUUGAACGCAUCUUGCGCUCCUUGGUAUUCCUUGGAGCAUGCCUGUUUGAGUAUCAUGAAAUCUUCAAAGUAAAUCUUUUGUUAACUCAAUUGGUUUCUACUUUGGUAUUGGAGGUCUUUGCAGCUUCACACCUGCUCCUCUUUGUUCAUUAGCUGGAUCUCAGUGUUAUGCUUGGUUCCACUCGGCGUGAUAAGUUAUCUAUCGCUGAGGACACUGUAAAAGGUGGCCAAGGUAAAUGCAGAUGAACCGCUUCUAAUAGUCCAUUGACUUGGACAAUACUUUUAUGAUCUGAUCUCAAAUCAGGUAGAACUACCCGCUGAACUUAAGC
rnacentral:misc_RNA from 1 species